GAAAUAAUUUAAAUUAAACUUCUAAUUUAAUAUUCAGUGAUUAUAAUCAUUAUUAUUUCU
rnacentral:tRNA from 1 species